rnacentral:sRNA from 1 species
UGGCGGAGCUGGGUGAAGCGGAUGAAGCGGAGUUGCAGCGCCUGGUAGCCGCCGAGCAGCAGAAGGCGCAGUUUACUGCACAGGCCACGUGCCCGUAGAAAAGAUACUCAUCCACUGUGGGUUUUGGUUUCGCCUUCACCUCACUGCCUCACUGGAUUGUGAGGAUCAUAUGCGACAAUGUAUUUGAAAACGACUAGAACAUUAUCGGAGGAAGGUGGACUCUGAAGUAGUCGCUGUAGACUAUGGAUUUAGAACAAGGGUUUGGAGCCCUUCGGACAUGGUUCUAACGCGGCCUGACUUCUUGCUGGCUACAUGACCUUGGACUACAUAAUCACGCCUCUUAAAUGGGAGGUGAUGACAGCUAUCCUUGAGGACCUUAGAGAGAACUGAUUUCUUAGCACCCAGCCCCACAAAUAGUAAGCUCUUGGUGCAUCACUUCAUGGAGUUAUGUUGGGAUAAAUGUGUGGAGAAGCCAGGGAAUCGCCUAGACUCUCGCACUGAAAAUUGUCUCUCCAGCUGUGUAGACCGCUUCAUUGACACCACUCUUGCCAUCACCAGUCGGUUUGCCCAGAUUGUACAGAAAGGAGGGCAGUAGGCCAUCCCCCAGGAGAAUGACAGAAGCAAAGGACUUGUUAUUAAGCAGACUUAAGGGCCAGUGGGGGAAGGCUGUCAACCCACUGUCAGAUCAGCAUCAGGCUGUUAUCAAGUCUGUUGGUGCUAAAAAGUAAAAGAUGAAAUGUU